rnacentral:rRNA from 1 species
GCUGGCGGCGUGCUUAACACAUGCAAGUCGAACGAACCUUCGGGUUAGUGGCGGACGGGUGAGUAACGCGUGGGAAUCUGCCCUCAGGAGGGGGAUAACGGCUGGAAACGGCCGCUAAUACCCCAUAUGCCGAGAGGUGAAAAGAAAUUCGCCUGAGGAUGAGCCCGCGUCUGAUUAGCUAGUUGGUGGGGUAAGAGCUCACCAAGGCGACGAUCAGUAGCUGGUCUGAGAGGAUGAUCAGCCACACUGGGACUGAGACACGGCCCAGACUCCUACGGGAGGCAGCAGUGGGGAAUUUUCCGCAAUGGGCGAAAGCCUGACGGAGCAACGCCGCGUGAGGGAUGAAGGCCUCUGGGCUGUAAACCUCUUUUCUCAAGGAAGAAGACAUGACGGUACUUGAGGAAUAAGCCACGGCUAAUUCCGUGCCAGCAGCCGCGGUAAUACGGGAGUGGCAAGCGUUAUCCGGAAUUAUUGGGCGUAAAGCGUCCGCAGGCGGCCCUGUAAGUCUGUCGUUAAAGCGUGGAGCUUAACUCCAUUUAAGCGAUGGAAACUACAGGGCUUGAGUGUGGUAGGGGCAGAGGGAAUUCCCGGUGUAGCGGUGAAAUGCGUAGAUAUCGGGAAGAACACCAGUGGCGAAGGCGCUCUGCUGGGCCAUAACUGACGCUCAUGGACGAAAGCCAGGGGAGCGAAAGGGAUUAGAUACCCCUGUAGUCCUGGCCGUAAACGAUGAACACUAGGUGUCGGGGGAAUCGACCCCCUCGGUGUCGUAGCCAACGCGUUAAGUGUUCCGCCUGGGGAGUACGCACGCAAGUGUGAAACUCAAAGGAAUUGACGGGGGCCCGCACAAGCGGUGGAGUAUGUGGUUUAAUUCGAUGCAACGCGAAGAACCUUACCAGGGUUUGACAUCCUGCGAAUCCCUUGGAAACGAGGGAGUGCCUUCGGGAGCGCAGAGACAGGUGGUGCAUGGCUGUCGUCAGCUCGUGUCGUGAGAUGUUGGGUUAAGUCCCGCAACGAGCGCAACCCACGUCUUUAGUUGCCAGCAUUCAGUUGGGCACUCUAGAGAGACCGCCGGUGAUAAACCGGAGGAAGGUGUGGAUGACGUCAAGUCAUCAUGCCCCUUACAUCCUGGGCUACACACGUACUACAAUGCUACGGACAAAGGGCAGCAAGCUCGCGAGAGUUAGCAAAUCCCAUAAACCGUGGCUCAGUUCAGAUCGUGGGCUGCAACUCGCCUACGUGAAGGAGGAAUCGCUAGUAAUCGCAGGUCAGCAUACUGCGGUGAAUACGUUCCCGGGCCUUGUACACACCGCCCGUCACACCAUGGAAGUUGGCCAUGCCCGAAGUCGUUACUCCAACC